GUUGCUUCAUUGGUGUUUAUUUAAGUUUUGUGCUUCUGUUAGAUGUAGCCGAGUUGAAAAUGUGCCGUGCUCACUUCGCCCAAUUUAAUUUUCUGUUUAAGGAUUAGUUAUUGAAUGGUAGAUGUUAUGUACAAAUGCUCGAGUAGUGAGUAGGCAACAAAUGAAAUUACUACUUCUGCAUGAUGGCACGGAUAGGGCAGUUUGCAUUGCAUUCUGUAUUUUGGGACACAGUAUUUUUUGGCAAGUUUUAUACUAAUAGUGACUUGAUCAGUAGUAGAUGAAAUUGCCGUAUGAUCUAAGCAUGCCUCUUCUAAAUGUACUUUAAUAUGGUGCUCCAAAUUUGUAAGAAAUAGCAACAAAUCUCGACACCUUUUGCAAAGGAUUGUGGUGCUAGCUAUCAUGGAACAGAGCCUAAUAAAACUAUGAAUACUCUGUCUUGACUUGGUGUAAAGAUGAAUCCCCUGCCGUGUAACAUUUCUCUGUUAAUCUCUCCCUCAUGUUUUCUGUUGGUUUAGUUAAAAAAAUUGAUCGCGACAGUAUUUUUUUAAAUGCUGCAGAAAAACUUCAAUAUGAUAGAUACCACAGUAACUUAAACAACAGUAUUUUUUUAAGCCAAACACUUGAAAGUAUGUAGUACUAUGGCUUUUUCCAGAAACCACAAAACACAUGUUAGAGCUUGUAUUCUCUUGCAAUAUUUUGAAACCAUUAGUAAUCUUCAGUCAGACUAUGAAAAUUAUAGGCUAAUUCGAUGAACAGUUUGGCACCUCCUGAGUAUAGUAGUGUGUAAGGAUGUGGCAAAGCUUGCAGUCUGAGGUCUCUGCAAUUUUUAUUUUGAAAGUGAGUAAGCUUAGGAGUGUCUCGUCAUGUUUCACAGCUAACUAUGUAGUAGCUACGUGUAUUUCCUGAUUACAUAUUAUGAUAUUCUCAUAACUAUGCCCAUUAUCCUGAUUAAUGUGUGCUUCUUCUCAAAUAAUUGAUGUUGUUGUUGCUGCACGUAUUUUAAAUGCAACACUCGUUGUUCCCAAAUUGGACCAAACCUCCUUCUGGAAAGCAGCAGUGACUUUGCUGAAAUUUUUAACGCCGACUGGUUCAUCUCAUUUCUAUCAAAGGAUGUAAGGAUUGUGAAUGGGCUUCCAAAGAUAGGAGCGCGGGAUAGUGCUUGACAUAUACAGCAAGAUUUAGAGACGAAGUUAUACCUGGAGGUUGCUAUUCAUCAGAUCGUGCCAAAGUACUUCAAGAUGGCUACUGGUUUGUGAUCUGAUUUUUUGAAUGGACUUUCCUAUAUAUGAUAUUGCAAAUAGGUAAGUACAUAUUGCCAAUGGUUGCUGAAGAGCACAAACACUUGAUGUGUGUAUAGUACGCACACUUAUUGAAAUUUCAGUACUUCAUAUAUAGACUUUGGUUGUCACCAUUUUCAGUAGGGAUUUUGCUUAGUUACUUCAUAUAGACUUCAUAUAACUUAACUGUUUGCAUUCAGUACUUCAUAUACACUUCAUAUGAAAUUUCAGUACUUCACAUAGACUUCAUAUAACUUAUCUGUCUGCAUACAGUUUUCUGGUCAGACUGAGUUUCCUAUGGAAGUAUACUAAGCACACCUGAUGUUCACACUUGAUUUUGCUUAGCACAAGAGAUCUACCCCAGCACCGCUUCCCCAUCUCUGGUGGUUCCUUUGGCUUCCUCCAUGGCUGCUGAGAAGAUGGGUCACCAAUUUGCACCACUGUACCUCAUGGCCAAUUUGCACCAGCAUUAACGAGGUCGCAGCCGAGGCCGUCCGUCGUCGUGCCAGGCUCAAUUUGGAGGACACCAAGGGUCGUAUACCUAUUGAUCUUCUCUCUUGCCCUGUAUCACAGGCUAAUUAAUGGGUAUUCUCCCAAUUCAGUUGCAACGGAAGUCUUCAGCUGGGGAAGUGGAUCAAACUAUCAACUGGGAACUGGCAAUGCCCACAUAUUAGAUACUGCAUGACUGCUUAUCUCUGAAUAUCCGGAUGUCCAAGACGACCAACAUUGUGCCAGGCUAAAGUUUAUGUCGUCCUGAGAUGUAAUCCAUCAGGAGCCGUUUUGAUCGACUAAAGUUUAUUAUGUCCAGGUCAUGACACAAACACAUGUGUAGACCCGCCUUGUUUUGAUCGUCUAAAGUUUACUACGUCCAGGUCCCGGAUGAGACCUAGGCAGCAUACCUGAGA